UACGAAAGGUGCAAGCGUUGUUCGGAUUUACUGGGCGUAAAGAGAGUGUAGGUGGUUUAUUAAGUCGGAUGUGAAAUCCCGGGGCUCAACCUCGGAACUGCAUUCGAUACUGAUAGGCUAGAGUUUGGGAGGGGUAAGCGGAAUUCCGUGUGUAGCAGUGAAAUGCGUAGAUAUACGGAGGAACACCUGAGGCGAAGGCGGCUUACUGGACCAAUACUGACACUGAGACUCGAAAGCGUGGGUAGCAAACAGGAUUAGAAACCCUAGUAGUCC
rnacentral:rRNA from 1 species